GGGUUGUGAGGUUAAGCGACUAAGCGUACACGGUGGAUGCCCUGGCAGUCAGAGGCGAUGAAGGACGUGCUAAUCUGCGAAAAGCGCCGGUAAGGUGAUAUGAACCGUUAUAACCGGCGAUGUCCGAAUGGGGAAACCCAGUGCAAUUCGUUGCACUAUCGUUAACUGAAUACAUAGGUUAACGAGGCGAACCGGGGGAACUGAAACAUCUAAGUACCCCGAGGAAAAGAAAUCAACCGAGAUUCCCCCAGUAGCGGCGAGCGAACGGGGAGGAGCCCAGAGCCUGAAUCAGCAUGUGUGUUAGUGGAAGCGUCUGGAAAGGCGCGCGAUACAGGGUGACAGCCCCGUACACAAAAGCGCAUGUGCUGUGAGCUCGAUGAGUAGGGCGGGACACGUGGUAUCCUGUCUGAAUAUGGGGGGACCAUCCUCCAAGGCUAAAUACUCCUGACUGACCGAUAGUGAACCAGUACCGUGAGGGAAAGGCGAAAAGAACCCCGGCGAGGGGAGUGAAAAAGAACCUGAAACCGUGUACGUACAAGCAGUGGGAGCCCCACCACUAAGCCAGUGGUGAACUCCACAUACGCAUCCUUUGCUGAGGAUACGGUUAACGGAGCGAAAGCGACGUUCAACCGCAAAAGAAGCAGAGGGGGCUUAGUGGUGGGGUGACUGCGUACCUUUUGUAUAAUGGGUCAGCGACUUAUAUUCUGUAGCAAGGUUAACCG
rnacentral:rRNA from 1 species